GAGGUGGGUCAGCACAGGAGAGGGCACCCGGCAGAGUUCUCUAUGCUUCCCCUUGGCCAAGCGGCGCUCAGAGGGGACGCUGACCAAGGCUUCGUUCCCACGAAGCUGGUUUUUGUUUAGUUCUGGAGAUUUCGUUCCUAGACCAGAUGGUUUUUGGUAAGGGACACAAGCCCCCCUGGUCUCCGCUCAGACACUGAGCUUUCCUGGGGAGGUGGCUUUGCCCCCAGUGCGAGCAGUCAGCAGGGGGCGCGCUCAGCCGCCUCGGUCGCACUCACCUCCAGCCCCGGUGAGCCCCGUGGGCUGUGGUAGGUGGGGAGCUGCCCGCUUUGCUCCCAGGGCAGGGGGUACCCCUCAAGUCGGCCUGCUCCCCGACCACUUGGGCACCUGCCGGUAAGCGCUCCCCCUGAUCCGGGAGUGCGGUCCGGCGCGGUGUGGAGGGCGGGCGCCGGAGGGCUAAGGCAGAGCCGUCAGAGCCCGGAGCCCGGGUCGACCCGGGCAGGCAGGUCUGGAGCUGGGGACGCCCGCAGUGUGGCCUUGGCCCCAGCACUCUAUCCCAGGGGCGGAAGAAAGAGUGAGACGCGCACCCUAGUUCUUUCUGGAUGGACAGUCUCCCUAAACUCUUGGCCAAGUCCAGAGGCAAGUGUGCCUUCUCACCAGGAUAUUCUCUGGAACAAGUCUGUUUCCACCAGAGCAGAGGCCUCCGCCGAUAAGGGCUGGGUGGGGCCCACAGAGAAGGCUCCUCCCACUUGGAAAAGCCGGGAUGCAGGGGAGCCGACUUCCAGAAGCUCCGCGGAAUCGUGGGCCCCUUGACAUCACGUACACGGAGCCAGAGACACAAAAGGGAGUUUGUUCUUGAACUCCGCCAACAACCGGGCCAGAUCCAGAUCGUGUUUCCUUUUCCUCCGCUCGAGCUCACGGUGGUCCAGUUCCCGGGUGCAGGGAGUGGGAGGCGCCUUUGUUCCGCUGACAAAGACCGGAAAUCCAGCCAGGGAUUGUCGCAGGUUGGAGGGGUCUCCACAUCCUUGGGCAGGUUUCAGGGCCGCUGGGCUAAACCCUCGCGCACAGCUUAGGGGCACCCCCUCCGAUCCUGAUCCUUUUCUCUUGGGGGCCCUAAACCAUUCCCUUGAGCCCGCCAGAAUCCACACUGAAUCUCAGCAAAAAAUACCCAGCUGUGUGCACAACAGGGCCUUCGACAAGAGUUGAGACGUCUGGGAAUAAUUCCUGUGGCCACAGAACAAGUCGGCUUCCCAGCCACCAGGAGGAGGCUGUGGCCAGGGAUGGGACAACCCAGGCCUCCUUUAUAACAGGCGGGCCAGGUGGCUUCUCAGCACUCUGCCUGGAUUAUUUUAUUUAAUCUUUUCCAGAGACUCAGUGAGAUAGGUACAUUUAUCAUCUCCAGGGUACCUCUUGGGAAAUUGAGGCACAAAGAGAUGAAACUAGUUUCUCAAGAGCACACAACUAGUAAGUGGUCAGAAUUUGACCGAGAUCUGCCCUUAGAACUGCUAUACCCUGGGUUGCCAGGGCUCCAUGAUGGAGCAUCUGCCUUUGGCUCAGGUCGUGAUCCUGGGGUCCUGGAAUCGAGUCCCGCAUCACGGGCUCCCUGCAGGGAGCCUACUUCUCCCCCUGCCUGUGUCCCUGCCUCUCUCCCUCUCUGUGUCUCAUGAAUAAAUAAAAUCUUAAAAAAAAAGAACUGCUACA
rnacentral:lncRNA from 12 species